GACGAACGCUGGCGGCGUGCUUAACACAUGCAAGUCGAACGGACAGGCCCCUUGCGUGGUACUCGGGUGGCAGACGCGUGCGUGACACGUACAUAACCUUCCCUUGACUUCGGGAUAACUAUAGGAAACUGGGACUAAUACCGGUUAGGAAUCCUUUCUUCAUGCGGGGGGUUGGAAAGCUUCGGCGGGUUUGGGUGGACUCGCGGCUUAUCAGCUUGUUGGUGGAGUAGUGGCUUACCAAGGCUUCGUCGGGUAGCGGGCCUGAGUGGGCGACCGGCCACAUUGGGACUGAGAGACGGCCCAGACUGCUACGGGAGGCAGAAGGGGGGAAUAUUGCACGAUGGGCGGAAGCCUGAUGCAGAAACGCCGCGUGCGGGAUGACGGCCUUCGGGUUGUAAACCGUUUUCAGCAGGGGCGAAGCUUGUGGUGACGGUACCUGCAGAAGAAGCAACGGCUAACUACGUG
rnacentral:rRNA from 1 species